UGGUUUAUGUCAGCAUUUAUCUUGAAACAGUGGUUGCAUCUGUUGUCAUUUGUGAUUUUAAUUCUGUUGAGAUGGGAUGGAACUAAACAAUGGCCGAAACGUAGACGAUUGAUGAUAGUGAUAAAUUUUCUAUUGUAAUAUUUGAAUUUGCUGUACCAAGGUGUCACUGGUAAUGAUCCUGAAAUAAUAACAGAUGCUGAUAUGGGGGAACCUACAACUAACUGAGAAAGCUGUGCAGGAUAUAAAAUAUUUUUAAGCACAAUACUAUUACUGGAAGAUAAUUCCUUUAUACAAAAUCUUUCUGCCAGUUGCAAACGUCUUAGAGACAAUGGAGGUCGGACCUCAUACACUGAUGGCCUCACAUUUACACUUACCUGAGUUGGAUAGUGAUAGCUGCCCAUCGGGUCAUCAUGGACUUUCCACUCACAGAGAGGAGCUAUUCGGGGACUAACUAAUGUUAUAUCUAUUGCUGAUGCCUGCCUGUUUGAUGAUUGAAUGGUGGUUGGACUACCAUCAUUUAACACACAUAAGUCAAGUUCAUCUAUGAGAUUGUAUAUGUUAUUACCUCUACUAUUGUUUGUAUGACAACCAAACAAAAUAUGAUGUGCAUUAAAAUCACCCAUAAUGAGACAUGGCUUAGGAGCACUAAGUAGAACUUUUUUCAGUUUGUUGGUAUCAAAUCUUCCAUUAGGAGGACAAUACACACAUAGUAUGUUUAAUUUGCCUAUGGAUGUUUCUAUUGCAAUACAUAUAUUCUGAACUGAUUCAUAAAAAGUAGUAGUUAUGAUAUUAUAUUUAAAAUUUUCUUUUAUUAAAAUACCCACUCCAUUGUGUGUAUUUACUGAGUUUUUGAAUAUGAAAUUAUAGGAUGUAAAUUUAGGAAUUUUACUGUUACUUUUAAGCCAUGUCUCAUUAAUGAGACAGAUAUCAAUAUUUUGUUCAUUCAUGUAUUUUUGCAACAGAGCUUUUUUACUCUGUAAGCUUUGUAUAUUAAACUGGGCUAUAUUUAAGUAUGUAUUCAUUAAAUUAAAUUUGACAACAA